CAGCCGCCGCGGGAAUACGUAGGGUGCAAGCGUUAAUCGGAAUUACUGGGCGUAAAGCGUGCGCAGGCGGUGUUGUAAGACUGAUGUGAAAUCCCCGGGCUCAACCUGGGAACUGCAUUGGUGACUGCAACGCUGGAGUGCGGCAGAGGGGGAUGGAAUUCCGCGUGUAGCAGUGAAAUGCGUAGAUAUGCGGAGGAACACCGAUGGCGAAGGCAAUCCCCUGGGCCUGCACUGACGCUCAUGCACGAAAGCGCGGGGAGCAAACAGGAUUAGAUACCCGCGUAGUCCCUGUCUCUUAUAC
rnacentral:rRNA from 1 species